GUUUCCAUUGGUUACUUGGUGUACACUCUAUGUAAAUAAAGAGGAUGAAGUAAAAUUACAAAAUCAUGUACUCGGUGUACGCCCUGUGUAAAUGGAGAGGAUAUUUCCUGUCAUAGCCCAAGAGUUUCCAUUUGAUUUAGUUCUCCGAAGUCAGGGUGAAUCGGCCUUAUGUUCCUGCCUCCAGACCCUUUUCUCCUGCCUCCGUGGAAUGGAUGGCAGGACAUGGAAAAGUGUUUUGUCCAAAUGACAUGUCCAAGGGCACUGGCAGCUGAAGGCAAGAGGGAACCAGUUAGUGCCACGGAGGAAUGCCCACCCCCGUCUCCACACCGCACAGAACAAAGUGAGUGUCCUUGUCCUGAACCCUCUGAGCUCUCUGGUUUCACUAUGCAAGCUGAC
rnacentral:lncRNA from 1 species